CUUUCUUGUUCUGACAGAUACUAGCUGCUUGAAGGAAGCUGGACAAAAUCAGAAAGGGAUGAAGGAUGCGAAUCUAUGUUUUGAUGGGCUCACUAGUCAAAAACCAAGGACUUCGGCAUGUUUUUCUCUCUCUUUGGUUAAGAUCUUCUAUAUGAAAUUGAUUGUAAUAGACUUUGUUGGUUAAGAUUUUCUAUAUGAAAUUGAUUGUAAUAGACUUUGUGACUAGAAAUGGAUUAUACUUUAUAUUAGGAAUA